GCACCAAUCCAUUCCACCUCCGUUAACCCCGUUCGUUUUAUUUGCGUUUACUUCGUUUCUUGGGAAGGCACUUCCUUCCUCUUCCUAGGAAGGUAAUAAAGAAGAGCCUCCUCCUUCCUCCAUGGAUAGAUAGAUCAAUGGGAGCUCUGCAUUUCCUUUUCUCGUCUCUGUUCUGUUGUUGGGUGUGUGUGUUCAGUGUUCUUGCUCACCUAGAACUGUCGGUGGUGCUGCUGCAUACCGAAAUGCCGGUAAUGGCGAUGAUAAUAUGAGCGCUCAUGCUCAUCCAUGCUGCCGGAAGGAACACGAUGACGGAAUUUUUCUUGGACUCGCGAGUGAUUCGAUCAUGGGGGGAGGUCAUGCCAAAAUUUUUCUCCGGGUUCAUCGGAUUCAGAGGGGGAGGUGCUGCCUCUGAAUGCAAUUGAGUGCACCUGAAACAGAAAAAAGAAAAAGAAACUCUGCUUCCUUUUUUUCUCUCUCUUCAUGCUCGUUCUUGCGUUAGGGGAUAAUAAUAAGCCGAGAUCUAGUGAAUAUUUGGGGGGUUUAGCGAACAUGAUCAUCGAUAACGACAUGGUGAGAUCUAGUGGUGAUGAUCUUGCUUCUGGAUCUGGGGGUUUAGUUCAGCAAGCCUGAAAUUCUCACCUGGGUUUAAGGUUUCUUUUAUUUUUCUUUUUUCAUCAGAUUGAAGUGGAUAGAAUGCUAGAUCUAGUAAUGUCCUAUGAUUGUUUCUCUUUCACCUGAAUUUUUAAAAGCAUUUUUGAUGAUUUCUCUC
rnacentral:sRNA from 1 species